AGCGCGACCGGGUCCACACCCCGAGUCACGACGAGAUAGUCGCGCAUGACGAUGGCGUGACGGUUCUC
rnacentral:sRNA from 1 species